rnacentral:tRNA from 1 species
AUGACGUUAGCUCAGCGGUAGAGCGGCAAUCUUACGGUUGCAGUCGCCGGUUCGACUCCGGUACGUCAAA